UGUUAAUAGAAUAUUUUCAUUCUUGAUCAAUGAUAAAACUCUGCUAUAUUAUUUUCAUUCUUGAUCAAAAUUAAAUUGGUCUGGAUGCCACCUUUAUACCCGUCGGCCCGUGAAGGCAUAGAUGCUGCUGAUGAUGGCGCAGUUGAUCCUAAGGAGUAUAAAGCUAUGAAGCAUCAAGUUGCUUAGCUAACAAGAACACUUAAUUCCUCGGAGGCUAGGAUGUUGGGUAUGCAAGCCCAAAUUAAUAGAUUAUGAUGGAUAUGUUUAAAUGGAUAUGUAUAUUAUCUUUAAGGGUUUGAAUGUAGUUUUAGUUCGAAUUAGAAGUACUUUUAAGUUUAUAAUGUUUAAGUGUUUGAAUGAUGUUUAUGAUGUUUAAGUGUUUGAAUGAUGUUUAUGAUGUUUAAGUGUUUGAAUGUAGUUGAAUUUGAUGUUUAUAAGUGUUUGAAUGGACAAUGUUUAAGUGUUCAAGUGUUUGAACAUUGUUUAUGGUUGUUGUGUUGCAUUGUUGAUGAAUUGGAUGACUGUUUUGGUUGA